rnacentral:RNase_P_RNA from 1 species
GCGGAAGGCUGGAUGGCCGCGGCCCAGCCUUGGGUCGAGGAAAGUCCGGACUCCAUCAAGCAACGGUGCCGGGUAACGCCCGGGCGGGGCAACCCGACGGACAGCGCCACAGAAAUCAGACUACCCUGCAUGCAGGGUAAAGGUGAAAAGGUGGGGUAAGAGCCCACCGCGCCGCUGGCAACAGGGGCGGCAUGGCAAGCCCCACCGGGAGCAAUGCCAAAUAGGAACCGCGUGCCGUAAGGCGGGGUGGCUUUGCCCCAGCGGUUCGGGUUGGCAGCUAUAGCCUGUGUGGCAACGCACAGGUCAGAUGAAUGGUCAUCCAUGGAAGGCAACUUCCGGGACAGAAUCCGGCUUACAGGCCUUCCGCGCGC